UUUCCUGUGAUUGCUUAAAGAGUGUGGUAUAAAAUGUUUUGUAGAAUGUAUUGUAUGAAGAGUGAGGUGUAGAAUGUACUGUAUGAAGAGUGUGGUGUAGAAUGUACUGUAUGAAGAGUGUGGUGUAGAAUGUACUGUAUGAAGAGUGAGGUGUAGAAUGUACUGUAUGAAGAGUGAGGUGUAGAAUGUACUGUAUGAAGAGUGAGGUGUAGAAUGUACUGUAUGAAGAGUGUGGUGUAGAAUGUACUGUAUGAAGAGUGAGGUGUAGAAUGUAUUGUAUGAAGAGUGAGGUGUAGAAUGUAUUGUAUGAAGAGUGAGGUGUAGAAUGUAUUGUAUGAAGAGUGAGGUGUAGAAUGUAUUGUAUGAAGAGUGAGGUGUAGAAUGUAUUGUAUGAAGAGUGUGGUGUAGAAUGUACUGUAUGAAGAGUGAGGUGUAGAAUGUAAUGUGCA